ensembl:miRNA
CUAGUCUGUAUUCCUUAAAAUGAGAUAGCAAAGCACACUUCAGUGUAUGAAUUGAUCUGUGCUUGUGUACUCAUAGGCUUUUGGACACCUGGAAGAUGUUU